UACGUAGGCAGCGAGCGUUGUUCGGAAUUACUGGGCGUAAAGAGUGUGUAGGCGGUGCUCUAAGUUCGGUGUGAAAUCUCCUGGCUUAACUGGGAGGGUGCGCCGGAAACUGGAGUGCUCGAGCGUGGGAGAGGAAAGCGGAAUUCCUGGUGUAGCGGUGAAAUGCGUAGAUAUCGGGAGGAACACCUGUGGCGAAAGCGGCGCACUGGACCACAACUGACGCUGAGGCGCGAAAGCUAGGGGAGCAAACAGG
rnacentral:rRNA from 1 species